rnacentral:rRNA from 1 species
UUCCAGACUCCUACGGGAGGCAGCAGUGAGGAAUAUUGGUCAAUGGCCGAAGGGCUGAACCAGCCAAGCCGCGUGAAGGAAUAAGGCCCUACGGGUCGUAAACUUCUUUAGUCAGGGAACAAAGGGUGCCACGCGUGGCGCUGUGAGUGUACCUGAAGAAUAAGCAUCGGCUAACUCCGUGCCAGCAGCCGCGGUAAUACGGAGGAUGCGAGCGUUAUCCGGAUUUAUUGGGUUUAAAGGGUGCGUAGGCGGUCGGAUAAGUUAGAGGUGAAAUCCCGAGGCUCAACUUCGGAAUUGCCUCUGAUACUGUUCGGCUAGAGAGUAGUUGCGGUAGGCGGAAUGUAUGGUGUAGCGGUGAAAUGCUUAGAGAUCAUACAGAACACCGAUUGCGAAGGCAGCUUACCAAGCUACUUCUGACGUUGAGGCACGAAAGCGUGGGAGCCAACAGGAUUAGAUACCCCUGUA